AAAAAAAAAAAAUUAGCCAGCCGUGGUGGCGGGUGCCUGUAGUCCCAGCUACUCGGGAGGCUGAGGCAGGAGAAUGGCGUGAACCCGGGAGGCAGAGCUUGCGGUGAGCAGAGAUUGCGCCACUGCACUCCAACCUGGGCAACAGAGUGAGACUCCGUAUCAAAAAAACAAAACAAAAAAAAAAUUGUGGUAAAAUAUACGUAACAUAAAAUGUACCAUGUUAACAAUUUUAAAUGUAUACUUGAGCAGCAGUAAGUACAUUCACACUGUUAUGGCAUCACUGCCAUCCACUUCCAGAACUUGUGCAUCUUCCAAAACUGAAGCUCUGUACCCAUUAAGCAGUCACUCUCCAUCCCCUGCUCCCCAGCCCCUGACAACCACCAUUUUACUUUCUGUCUCUAUGAUUUUGACUACUCUAGGUCCCUCAUAUAAGUGGAAUCAUACAGUAAUUGCUUUUUUGAGACUGGCUCAUUUCACUUAGCAUAAUAUCCUCGUGAUUCAUCUAUGUUGUAGCAUGCGUCAACAUUUCCUUCUUGUUCAAGGCUGAAUCAUAUUCUGUAAUAUGGAGAGACCACAUUUUGCAUCUCUAUUCAUCUGUUGGUGGACACUUGGGUUGUUUUCCACUUCAGUCUGAUUUAUUUUCUGUUGUUUUUGAAACUUGAUAACUAGCUUUAUUCCAGACGGGCUCCUGAAGACAGGAAAGAGUAUCUAAGUGGUCUGACACUAUUCUAGAGAUUGGCCCGGUCAUCACUUUAGUCUGGGCCUUGUAGAUGUGCAAAAACAGCAGUGGCUCUGAGCAUAGGCAGAGGGAUUAGAUGUGAGGGGUAAAGGGAGGAUCUGUAGUGUGCCUUGCACCAUAAAACUUAUGCUGCUUCACUGCUCAAGUUUAACUCACGUCAACCCAAAGGCUAUGCAGAUGUUUUCUGCUGGGUUGCUAUGGACACCAGAAGUCUAGAUCUUGAGCAGACAGAACACAGAGUACCCUCAGUGCGGUCCUAAUUUACCUGUUUCCUCAGCAGCUAUGUCCAUACCAGCUACCUAACUCCCGACCCCCCAAAUCCAUCUAACUUCUUCCUGUAGCCUUGGCUUGUAGUGUUUUGCAGGAACAGGAAUGGAUCUGAUGGCAGAAGCAUUGGUGUCAAGGGGCAUUUCCCAAACUUGUCUAAUCACAGACUCACCUGGGAAGCUUGACAAAAUAUGGAUUCCUGGGCUCCAUCCCAGAACUGACUGAUCAGAAUCUGUAGGGGAGGGGCCAAGGAAUCUGAAUUUUAACAGGUGCCUCGAGAAUCUUAUGAGGACACCCUGAGUAGAGAAGCAAGCACUUAACUUAGAUCAGAACACCUGAGUCCUACUGAACCUGAAGUGCCUGGAGAGUUCCAUCCACAUUUAUUGAGCAGGCCCCAUGCUAGGUGCCAAUGGAACAGAGGAAUAUUGGACUGGGAGAUGGCUGGCUGCUCAGAGCAGGCUCCUGGGCAUCGCAUUGGCCAGAUCACUGGGUAUUACAGCUGAGCCUUGAUUUUGUGGCUCCAGGGAUUUGUGAUUGUCUUUAUAUCAAGUGUUAAUGUCACUCUGGUAGAGUGUGAUUGUAUUCCAGCCAGGUGAAUCACUGGUGACUGAUCCCUCCCUCACAAAGGAGCUCAGCUCCCUGGCGGCUAAAGUGUCCAUGUCACCCAGAUUUGGCAUCCCAGCCUUCUUCUAAGAUUCUCCACUGUAGGCUGGGAUUCUCGUGGGCCUGGUAUGGAAAAGAGCCAGGCUGCUCCUUGCAGUGAAGAGGGAAGAACCUCACUAUUGGAGUCAGAGUAACUUGAGUCUGAAUCUCCAUUCCCUUGUAUACUAGUUGUGUGACCCUGAGUAAGUUUCUGAAUGUCUCUGAGCCUCUGUUUCCUCACAGUAUAAUCAGGUAUAAUCAGGUGGCUAUGAGAAUUAAAUGAGAUUCUGUAUAUAUAUUCUUUAACCCAA